GGAAGUAAAAGCGUAACAAGGUUUCCUUAGGUGAACCUGCGGAAGGAUCAUUAUUGUAUAACCGAGGUGCGAGGGCUGUCGCUGACCCGAAAGGUCGUGCACGCCCGAGUGCCCUCACACACAUCCAUCUCACCCCUAUGUGCACCACCGCGUGGGUCCCCCUUUGGCUUGUUCGGAGGGGGGCUUACGUUUUCACACAAACUUUGUAUGCAGUGUAGAAUGUAUUUUUUGUUUUUGCGAUCACGCAAUCAAUACAACUUUCAACAACGGAUCUCUUGGCUCUC
rnacentral:misc_RNA from 1 species